CCUACGGGCGGCUGCAGUCGAGAAUCAUUCACAAUGGGGGAAACCCUGAUGGUGCGACGCCGCGUGGGGGAAUGAAGGUCUUCGGAUUGUAACCCCCUGUCAUGUGGGCGCAAAUUAAAAAGAUAGUACCACAAGAGGAAGCGACGGCCAACUCUGUGUCAGCAGCCGCGGUAAUACAGAGGUCUCAAGCGUUGUUCGGAAUCACUGGGCGUAAGCCGUGCGUAGGCUGUUUCGUAAGUCGGGUGUGAAAGGCGCGGGCUCAACCCGCGGACGGCACAUGAUACUGCGAGACUGGAGUAAUGGAGGGGGAACCGGAAUUCUCGGUGUAGCAGUGAAAUGCGUAGAUAUCGAGAGGAACACUCGUGGCGAAGGCGGGUUCCUGGACAUUAACUAACGCUGAGGCACGAAGGCCAGGGGAGCGAAAGGGAUUAGAUACCCCUGUAGUC
rnacentral:rRNA from 1 species